rnacentral:rRNA from 1 species
AUGAACGCUAGCGACAGGCCUAACACAUGCAAGUCGAGGGGCAGCACAAGGAGCAAUCUGAGGUGGCGACCGGCGCACGGGUGAGUAACACGUAUGCAACCUGCCUGUAAGCGGGGAAUAACCCGUUGAAAGACGGACUAAUACCGCAUAAUACUAAAUUACUGCAUGGUAAUUUAUUUAAACAUUUAUGGCUUACAGAUGGGCAUGCGCAUGAUUAGCUAGUUGGAGAGGUAACGGCUCCCCAAGGCAACGAUCAUUAGGGGUUCUGAGAGGAAGGUCCCCCACACUGGUGCUGAGACACGGACCAGACUCCUACGGGAGGCAGCAGUGAGGAAUAUUGGUCAAUGGACGAGAGUCUGAACCAGCCAAGUCGCGUGCAGGAAGAAUGUCCCUAUGGAUUGUAAACUGCUUUUGCAGGGGAAUAAAGUGCAUCACGUGUGAUGUUUUGUAUGUACUCUGCGAAUAAGGAUCGGCUAACUCCGUGCCAGCCGCAGC